CCCUUAGAUGUUCUGGGCCGCACGCGCGCUACACUGAUGCAUUCAACGAGUUUCUUCCUGGUCCGAGAGGAAUGGGUAACCUUUUGAAAGUGCAUCGUGAUAUGGAUAGACUAUUGCAAUUAUUGGUCUUCAACGAGGAAUUCCUAGUAGACGUAGUUCAUCAGACUGCAUCGAUUACGUCCCUGCCCUUUGUACACACCGCCCGUCGCUCCUACCGAUUGAAUGCUCAGGUGAGCCAUUCGGACUUUCAUCAUGCUGGUUUCCAGUUUUGAUGAAGGAAAGUCUUGCGAACCUUAUCAUUUAGAGGAAGGAGAAGUCGUAACA
rnacentral:rRNA from 1 species